UUUUAGUGAAGCUUGUUUGCAAGAUUGCAUUGCUUCCUGAUCUCACCCUUGCUACCAGUGAGAGGAUUGUUCUCAGAGAGGAGAGUAAUGGCCCUUGAGAACUCCUUGAAGAAAUAGUCUUGGCUCUUGGCCAUUUUCUUCACAUAAGGUCUGGUCCUUUUGUCGUAAGCCAGUUGGUGAUCCACAAUCAACAAACCCUUGUUGUCCAGUAUGUUCCUGUAGUAGUUGUUGUCCAAAACCAUGGGUGUCCCACGAUCGUUUCUCACAUACUGGACGGCCUUGGGGUCUGGGAUUUGAUCAGGGCAUUUAUGGAGCAUGUGUGGAACAUGGUCGGGGCUGAGGGCAGGGUCAACCUCUGGGUACAACCGAUGCACCAGCUUCACACAGUGGGUUCUGCCGACACUGUGAGCUCCUGUUUUGCACAAAAUAGGAAACUUAGAGCCAAAAAGAUGCUAGAAAUAUAAUCUCCAUAAUGUUCACUCACACAGUCGGUCACUUGCAUUUACUGAUACUUAUGUAAAGAUGGAAAAGGAGUACCUAGGAGGGCAACGACUCCAGGGGUGUCAAUACCCAUGGCGGCAAACCUGUCGAGAACGCCAGAGAUGGUCUCAUUGUGGUCCGGAAGAUACUCCUCCACAACAUCUGCUCUGCUCCUUCUACCGUCUCUUCUUCCAGUUUUGAGAGGAAUGUAAGGGCCUCCCAACUGAAACAAGUGAAUUUGGGGUUACUUUUACUUGACUGACAAGCUAAGCUAAACUUAGUAAUUCACAAAAUUAAGAUAUGCAUCCAGGAAUUUUAAGUAUUUAUUACAGUUAAAAUAGGAUCUAAGCACAUGAAACUGAAGUUGAAACCUCAAAGGACUGGGAAAGAAAAGGUUAGUAGUAGAUUAAGCAAACGAAACCUCCACUAAUCUUACUGAUCUAGUGCAAAAGGAACUCUCAAGUAAGCACAUAGAAAUUGUAGUUUUAAUUAAAUUUGAAUGGAGGAAGAGUAAUCUAAAGGGGUGGAAAGAAAUUUUUACCGAAACGAUGCCUUCUCUAGCAGACAGAACAAGGAUAUCAGCACAAGAAACAACUCCAGGACAUUCCCUUUCUACAGCUUCUUUGAUGGUCUCAAUGUACCUGAAAUUCCUUAGGCCAAAGCUCCUGUCUGUCUCCUUCUCAGACAAGCUCCUUCUUGUGGAGUCCAGCAGCAGUGAAGCAUCACAUGACUACUCCAAAAUAUGAAAAAAACAGUACUUGUAACUAUCAAGAACAAGAAAAUAGUAUAAAGUAGUUGAAAAAACACUUUAGCGUAUAGAUUCAUAGAAAUAUAUACCUGGACAGCACAGUCAUGGAAAAUGU
rnacentral:lncRNA from 1 species